rnacentral:rRNA from 1 species
GAUCCUGGCUCAGGAUGAACGCUAGCGACAGGCUUAACACAUGCAAGUCGAGGGGCAGCACGGGGUAGCAAUACCCCGGUGGCGACCGGCGCACGGGUGAGUAACACGUGUGCAACCAACCCCGUACCGGGAGAUAACCCGCGGAAACGUGGGCUAACACCCCAUAAGACCUUUCCCCCGCAUGGGGGGGAGUUUAAAACCCCCGGUGGUACGGGACGGGCACGCGCGACAUUAGGUAGUUGGCGGGGUAACGGCCCACCAAGCCGACGAUGUCUAGGGGUU